rnacentral:lncRNA from 1 species
UCAGACAUGGAAGCAGCGCUACUGGGAGGCUUGAACAUCCACUGUCUCUCCAGUCUCUGGACUAGCUCCUCCGUGCCCCCAAGGCUGAUGUGUCAGAGAUGAGAUGUGAGACCUCAGCCCCUCCCGCCCCUGCUGCCUGGCUGCCACUUUGCAUGCAGCUUUGGUCUGAACCCCACCUGCUGCUCCAGACCACAGCUGGGCCCAGCCCACGUCCUCCUUCUUCCUUGGGACUGCAAAGACGUCCUGCCCCUCUUCCACACUGCCACACUCUGCAUGUUACAGGGACUGGAGAGACUCCCUGCCCCUCUUCCACACUGCCACACUCUGCGUUAGAGGCUGCUGCCAUUUGGAACGGCUGAUGAUGAAGGGAUCUCACCCCAGGAUUUUCUCACAUCAGGGAUGCAGC